rnacentral:rRNA from 1 species
UACGGAGGGGGCAAGCGUUAUUCGGAUUUACUGGGCGUAAAGGGUGUGUAGGCGGUCGUGCAAGUCUGGUGUGAAAUCUUCACCACUCAACGGGAAAAGGUCACUGGAAACUGCAUGACUUGAGUUUGGUAGAGGCUAGCGGAAUUCCUGGUGUAGCGGUGGAAUGUGUAGAUAUCAGGAAGAACACCUGUGGCGAAGGCGGCUAGCUGGGCCAAUACUGACGCUGAGACACGAAAGCGUGGGGAGCAAACGGG